rnacentral:rRNA from 1 species
AUGAACGCUAGCGGCAGGCUUAACACAUGCAAGUCGAGGGCAUUGGUUUCGGACCAAGAGACCGGCGCACGGGUGCGUAACGCGCAUGCAAUCUACCUUUGCAGAGGGAUAGCCCAGAGAAAUUUGGAUUAAUACCUCAUAGUAUAGUACUUUGGCAUCAAGGAACUAUUAAAGUCACAACGGCAAAAGAUGAGCAUGCGUCCCAUUAGCUAGUUGGUAAGGUAACGGCUUACCAAGGCUACGAUGGGUAGGGGUCCUGAGAGGGAGAUCCCCCACACUGGUACUGAGACACGGACCAGACUCCUACGGGAGGCAGCAGUGAGGAAUAUUGGACAAUGGGCGCAAGCCUGAUCCAGCCAUGCCGCGUGCAGGAUGACGGUCCUAUGGAUUGUAAACUGCUUUAUACAGGAAGAAACACUCCGACGUGUCGGAGCUUGACGGUACUGUAAGAAUAAGGAUCGGCUAACUCCGUG